rnacentral:tRNA from 1 species
GUGCCUAUAGCUCAAUCGGCAGAGCGCUUGACUGUGGAUCAUGAGGUUACGGGUUCGAGCCCCGUUAGGCACC